rnacentral:rRNA from 1 species
GAGAGACGCAAGGCUGCGAAGCGGAGCAAAACUCUAAAACCGGUCCCAGUUCGGAUUGCAGGCUGCAACUCGCCUGCAUGAAGUUGGAGUUGCUAGUAAUCGCGGAUCAGAAUGCCGCGGUGAAUGCGUUCCCGGGUCUUGUACACACCGCCCGUCACACCAUGGGAGUCGGAAAUGCCCGAAGUCAGUGACCUAACCGAAAGGAAGGAGCUGCCGAAGGUGGAGCCGGUAACUGGGGUGAAGUCGUAACAAGGUACC